rnacentral:rRNA from 1 species
CCUACGGGAGGCAGCAGUGGGGAAUAUUGCGCAAUGGGCGAAAGCCUGACGCAGCGACGCCGCGUGAGGCAUGAAGGUCGUCGGAUCGUAAACCUCUGUCAGCAGGGAAGAACGGUCACUGUGCUAAUCAGCAGUGAAUUGACGGUACCUGCAAAGGAAGCACCGGCUAACUCCGUGCCAGCAGCCGCGGUAAUACGGAGGGUGCGAGCGUUAAUCGGAAUUACUGGGCGUAAAGCGCUCGUAGGCGGUAUGUCAAGUCAAGGGUGAAAUCCCCGCGCUCAACGUGGGAACUGCCUUUGAAACGGGCAGACUGGAGUGUGUGAGAGGAUAGUGGAAUUCCAGGUGUAGGAGUGAAAUCCGUAGAUAUCUGGAGGAACAUCAGUGGCGAAGGCGACUAUCUGGCACAUAACUGACGCUGAGGAGCGAAAGCGUGGGUAGCAAACAGGAUUAGAUACCCCAGUAGUC